AUUGAACGCUGGCGGCAUGCCUUACACAUGCAAGUCGAACGGCAGCACGGGAGCAAUCCUGGUGGCGAGUGGCGAACGGGUGAGUAAUAUAUCGGAACGUGCCCAGUCGUGGGGGAUAACGCAGCGAAAGCUGUGCUAAUACCGCAUACGCUCUACGGAUGUAAGCGGGGGAUCGCAAGACCUCGCGCGCUUGGAGCGGCCGAUAUCAGAUUAGCUAGUUGGUCAGGUAAAGGCUCACCAAGGCGACGAUCUGUAGCUGGUCUGAGAGGACGACCAGCCACACUGGAACUGAGACACGGUCCAGACUCCUACGGGAGGCAGCAGUGGGGAAUUUUGGACAAUGGGCGCAAGCCUGAUCCAGCCAUUCCGCGUGCAGGAUGAAGGCCCUCGGGUUGUAAACUGCUUUUGUACGGAACGAAAAGGCUCUGGUUAAUACCCGGGGCUCAUGACGGUACCGUAAGAAUAAGCACCGGCUAACUACGUGCCAGCCGCCGCAGUAACAC
rnacentral:rRNA from 1 species